CUUUAUUUUCGUUCCUGAGAAGAAUAUGCAUUAGGUAAUAUGUUCACAAGAGAUGUAGUCCUACAGUAAUAAAAAACACUCAACUCAAAAUAAAUUUUAAAAUAAAAUAGUCACCUUUUUAUAUGACUCUGUACAAUAUAUUUACUUUGGUUUCCAGUAUAUUAUUACACACUGUAAUAUCUAUCGUAAGUACUUUUGAUAUCCAAAGCAUUUAAAAAAUAUAUAUAUAAUUUCAUAGAUUUUAUUUUAACUGAAGGUCACGCGUAACCCACCAUAUAGACUUCGGCUUUUUUAAUUCUAAAAAUCAAUUUUUCAAACCGUCUGGCGAUAAUAAUAGGUAGAAAAGAAAUCAUCAUCUCAUGAUCACGCUUAGAACCUCACGAUAAAACUAACUCGUUCUCAUGGCCAUCCAUAACAUAUUUUCCCCUCCUGGCCACGGAUAUCUGUGGUGCCACACGAUAUUCAUUUAAAUAAAAAUAUUAAUUGUUAACCCGUUCAGAAUAGUCAUGUCUUAAAAGCCAUAAACCUUAUUUAAAGAUUUUUGUCAUCUCUUUGCUGUAUAGACAUAAUAUUAUUACUGUAUAUUACUGUAAGAAUAAUUAUAUAUACUACUGCAGUCUAAUAUCUAUUAUACAUUUUAUGUGAAUAAAAAUGAUUAAGCCUUUUUUCAUGACAGUCGAGUAUUAUAAUAAGGAUCCUCUGGUAAGUACAGGUUUAAUAAAAAAAAAAAAAAAAAACACACAUUUUAGGCGACGUGGGUUUACAAUACUUUUUUGAAAAUGUACCUACCUAUAGUUAUAGUUUUGUACAACUAAGCUAACGUAAACCAGUUUGUGUUACUUUCCAACUACGGAUGGAGCUACACUUUGUUAUGAUGACGGUCAUCUGGGUGCAGCCCCACGAGACCGGUUUUCGGGCGUUAUUAUUUUUUCGAAGCCGUUGCCAAAUUUCAAUACAAAAUAUUAUAAAAUGUUGCCAUGUUCCAUCAAUAGACAAUAGUAUAUUAUGAACUCUUUAUAAGAAAAUUUAGAAAGAAAAAACAAAUGUUUGCGAAUUUUAUCACUUUGUAUUUCUUUAAAUGAUUUGACAGUCCAGGUAUACAGUGUAUAUAUACGAGAUAUGCAUAUUCAUAGUUCAUAAUUUUUAAGCUCUAGCAUUAGGUCUAUAGGACGUCUAGGUACUUAAUUACUGUGAAAUUACAUUUUGAAAAUGUUAUUCAAUUAUUAAGACUAUGCAUGACGUCUGAAUACUCUAAGUUAUAAUUCAAAUAGCUGGACAGUAUACGUUCAAACAUUGUAAAUUUUUGUAACGAAACCGUUCUUGUAAUGACGUACGGAUAUUGUAUCAUGUCAAACAGCUGUACGAGCGCUCACACAAUUUCGCGUUUCCAACAUAUAAGUGCAAUCGACGUGAUUUGGAAAUGCGUUUUUUGUUUGUACUUAGUUCUCACGUGUGUUCUAUUCUAUUGUUCCAACAAUCGUUACUAGCGUAAUACGGAACUUGUAUCACAAAUACAUGUAUAGACAAAGAGCAGUAUAUUAUAUAAUUGGCCAAUUGUAUUGUAUAGGUAUAUAAUAUAUAUUACCUAUACACUAUAAUUUCAAUUACCUACUUUUUUGUUGUUGUCGGAUGAUUAAAUUAUAAACAUAAAAAUCUUCUUUUUGUAGUAGAUGCGAAGUGUGUGGUACACUUGAAAACUUUAUGGUUUAUAUAAUAUUGUAAUAAUAUAAUUUAAGAAUUAACAUUAAAAAAUAAUAAUAAAUAAAAUAUUAAAACAACAAAACUAACGUGUUUCAGAGUAUUGGCCUAGAGAAAUCGGGAAAUGAACUGGUUGGAAGUAUUUGAUUAUGAUAUUACACUCGAAUUUUAACUAUAGAUGCACACGAGGCAUACUAGACAUAUACAGCCUCUCCAAUCUCCACGAAACCGGUGCGUGCAACGUCUGACCCCCCGGACACCGAUUUUCGAAUUGAUCGCGCGGACAAUACAAUUAAUCUGGCGCUUCGUAAUGAAUUGGUUGGCACUUGGUUCUUAAUGCAUACAGUACAAUUAUUUAAAUAUUAAAAGUGAGUGGGAGAUUGUCGAAGAAAUUUACUUGUAGUUAAUGUAGUUUACGAAUUGAUGAGUAAAGAAAGGGUAUAUCUUUUGUAUUUUUUUAGUUUGAGUUAAAGUUUAGAUUAUAUAAUAGUUUAUAUGAAAUAAUAUAUUCAUACAAAAUUAGGCUGAGGAAAAAAAUGUUAGUUUUGUUGUUUUAUUAUCAGCACCUUUAUAGGUAAGUAAAAUAUUUAAAAAAUUUGAUUAUUCAGAUUUUCAAUUUCGUAUUUAUAAUAUACCUACCUUAUGAAAUGUUUGUUAUAUUGAAUGAACUCCAAUAUAUUGAACCAGGUCGAAUGGAAACUUGUGCUUGUUUAAUUUAAGAUCAACUAUUUAUAUGAAUAGCAUUGUAAAAAUUUAAAUUAUCUAUUGUACAAUAUAUUGUUAAAACU